GCCCGGCUAGCUCAGUUGGUAGAGCAUGAGACUCCUAAUCUCAGGGUCAUGGGUUCAUGCCCCAUGCAACUGGCA
rnacentral:tRNA from 1 species